rnacentral:rRNA from 1 species
UGAGCAAUCUGCCCUUCUCAUCGGAAUAAGCGUGGGAAACCGCGUCUAAUGCCGAAUACGACCUCCUUUCGCAUGAUCGGAGGUGGAAAGCUCCGGCGGAGAAGGAUGAGCUCGCGGCCUAUCAGCUUGUUGGUGAGGUAAUGGCUCACCAAGGCAUUGACGGGUAGCCGGCCUGAGAGGGUGACCGGCCACACUGGGACUGAGACACGGCCCAGACCUCUACGGGAGG